rnacentral:rRNA from 1 species
AGUGAACGCUGGCGGCGUGCCUAACACAUGCAAGUCGAACGGAUCUUAAGGGCUUGCUCUUAAGGUUAGUGGCGCACGGGUGAGUAACACGUAGCUAACCUGCCCCAUAGUAAGGGACAACAGUUGGAAACGACUGCUAAUACCUUAUACUCCUUCUCUACCUAAGUAGAGUCGGGAAAGUUUUUUCGCUAUGGGAUGGGGCUGCGGCCUAUCAGCUUGUUGGGGAGGUAAUGGCUCACCAAGGCUAUGACGGGUAGCUGGGCUGAGAGGUUGAUCAGCCACAUUGGAACUGAGACACGGUCCAAACUCCUACGGGAGGCAGCAGUGGGGAAUUUUACACAAUGGGCGAAAGCCUGAUGUAGCAACGCCGCGUGGAGGAUGAAGGAUUUAGGUUCGUAAACUCCUUUUAUAAGGGAAGAAAUUUGACGGUACCUUAUGAAUAAGCACCGGCUAACUCCGUGCCAGCCGCCGCCGUAA